rnacentral:rRNA from 1 species
GACGAACGCUGGCGGCGUGCUUAACACAUGCAAGUCGAACGGACAGGCCCUGCUUUUGUGGGGUGCUCGAGUGGCGAGCAGGUGAGUAACACGUGAGUAACCUGCCCUUAUCUUUGGGAUAACUUCAGGAAACUGCGGCUCAUACCGGAUAGGAGCUACUGCUGCGUGGUGGGGGAUGGAAAGAUUCGGCGGUUGGGGAUCGACUCGCGGCUUAUCAGCUUGAUGGUGGGGUAGUGGCGUACCAGGGUUGUGACGGGUAGCCGGCCUGAGAGGGUGACCGGGCACAAUGCGACUGAGAGACGGCGCAGACGCCUACGGGAGGCAGCAGGCGGGAAUAUGGCACAAUGAGCGGAAGCCAGAUACAGCGACGCCGCGUGCGGGAUGACGGCCUACGGGUGAUAAACCGCUGUCGCCUGUGACGAGGCGUGAGUGACGGUAAUGGGUAAAGAAGCACCGGCUAACUACGUG